rnacentral:sRNA from 1 species
UAAUACAAAAAAUGGAGAACGUUUCAGC